rnacentral:rRNA from 1 species
CCUACGGGAGGCAGCAGUAGGGAAUGUUCGGCAAUGGGGGGAACCCUGACCGAGCAACGCCGCGUGAACGAAGAAGUUAUUCGUAAUGUAAAGUUCUUUUAACAGGGAAGAAAGAGAAAUUGGACGGUACCUGAAGAAUAAGCUCCGGCUAACGACGUGCCAGCAGCCGCGGUAAUACGUAGGGAGCGAGCGUUAUCCGGAAUUAUUGGGCGUAAAGGGUGCGUAGCUGGAAGAGUAAGUCUUUUGUAAAAAUGCUGGGCUCAACCCAGUAGGGCAAAAGAUACUGCAAAGCUAGAGUAUGCCAGAGGCAAGUGGAACUACAUUUGUAGCGGUCACAUGCGUACCUCUCUGU